AUCACGUUCGGAAUGCCCGAGUUGCCAGCGGUAUUUUAUCUCGCGUCGAUUUUUCGUCCCACAGUGCUUGAGUGUUUAUUAUGCAUAUCUUGUGAUGCAAGUGAUGUCAGUGUGAUGGACCUGCAGUCGUCCAUCAUUACUUCGGAUGUCAUGCCCCGGGACUGGCAACGUUUGUGUAAUUACUCCCACGCUGAUGACGUCAGCCAGCGGUCUACGCGAACUGACGCCCUGAGAGAAACGUCAGCUGGGACUAUUACAGCUCUGACAUGCCCGUGAUGUCACCAGUCGUUUAUAGGAUGUGAGGCUGUAAACACAGCAAGCUUGUGAUGAAGUGGCAUUAAUUUUCGCUUAUAUAAAGCUCUUUAUUGCUAAGUGGUAACUCCAGUGGUGCGAUCUUGCAGAAAAAAACGAUAAUAAUAUUUAUAGGAAGAAAAGUGAUGUGAACAAAAAAUAUCAGGAACCGAAAGCUAACGUUGGAAAUGUAUUUAUAUAAAUCUAAAAUUGUGUUGGGCUGGAAGUGUUGUGAAAAUGUGAUUUAAAUCGUCUGUG